rnacentral:snoRNA from 1 species
UUGAUGAGGAUGAAGCAAUAUUUAAAUUUCCAACACUUGGACUGAGAGAUAAGAUCUCAAGUGAUGCUACAAAACAUUGCUACUGAAUCGUU